rnacentral:rRNA from 1 species
GCUCAGGAUGAACGCUAGCUACAGGCUUAACACAUGCAAGUCGAGGGGUAGCAGGGUAGCAAUACCGCUGACGACCGGCGCACGGGUGAGUAACACGUAUCCAACCUUCCCAUAACUCGGGGAUAGCCUUUCGAAAGAAAGAUUAAUACCCGAUAGUACUUUUUUAGGGCAUCUUAGAAAAGUUAAAGAUUUAUUGGUUAUGGAUGGGGAUGCGUUCCAUUAGGUAGUUGGUGAGGUAACGGCUCACCAAGUCUUCGAUGGAUAGGGGUUCUGAGAGGAAGGUCCCCCACAUUGGUACUGAGACACGGACCAAACUCCUACGGGAGGCAGCAGUGAGGAAUAUUGGUCAAUGGGCGAGAGCCUGAACCAGCCAAGU